rnacentral:rRNA from 1 species
UACGUAGGGUGCGAGCGGUGUCCGGAAUUAUUGGGCGUAAAGAGCUCGUAGGCGGUGUGUCGCGUCGGCCGUGAAAACCUGCAGCUUAACUGUGGGCUUGCGGUCGAUACGGGCAUCACUGGAGUUCGGCAGGGGAGACUGGAAUUCCUGGUGUAGCGGUGAAAUGCGCAGAUAUCAGGAGGAACACCGGUGGCGAAGGCGGGUCUCUGGGCCGAUACUGACGCUGAGGAGCGAAAGCGUGGGGAGCGAACAGG